GCUUAUCUCAUGUAGUAUCCUACUUUUCUGUCUCAACAGCUGAGGAAAAAAAAAAAAAAGUGACAAAAAGAAGUGGUAGUAUCAUUUUUUUUUGACAGGAACCUGCUGCUGUGUGAUGUUGAGAGGCAGAAGAUGUUCAGUACUAUUCUUGCAUCCUUUUCUUUUGUAUUUACUGGUAAAAAGACUAAGUUCCAGCAUCCUAGUGAGUGUUCUCAUUACCACAAAUAAUGAGAAUUUUCAUCAAAAGUGGUAGAGAAAAACUGUUCUUACCUCUUGGAGAAAGUCAAGAUAGCACAGAGACGAUGUGGCACUGCAGUACUUCUGCUUCAUCCAGCAACAGGGAACAAGGGUCUGUCUCAUAGCUAAUGUAGAUGGUUUCAAAUAUUCAAUAAAAUUAGCUCUUUUCUUAAUCAAUCACACUCUUUCUGAUAGGUUUUUUCUAUUGUUUCUGUUCUGUUCUACCUUAAUGUGAGACAUGCUUUUUAUGCCUUGCUAAUUUGCAGUGCAUUUCAUCAAUGAGGAUCAACUGGGAUUGUAAUAACGCAUGCGUGUAUCUGUAUAGGUAAGGUAGAGACUAAAGGUUGGGGCAUAUUGUUAUGCAGUUUUCAUAGCAAAACUGCCAGGGAAGAAUCUUCACAUGCAACAUGUAUAUAAUAUGUACGUUUACUGCCUUUGUAUGCAGCCAUAUGAGUACAUAUUUCUGCUUGCAUGCUUUUUUUCCUACCAGCUUCUUUUGCUACUGCCAUAAGCCCUACAACCCUCUUACAUAUGCUGUCAUGCCACAGUUGUUCUCAGAAGAAAGCUACCUGCUAAAUAAAGCUUGUUGGCUACUUUGAUUCUGAGGGGACUGUGUAAUUUUUGUGUGACUUGCCCAAUCAGUUGGUUUUGACAGGACUAUUCGCAUACUUGAAUUGCUUAGAGCUGGGCUUCAGCUGUGGAUUUUCUGAAGCUGCACCUCCAUUAGCCUGUUUGGUAUCUAUGUAUUUACAAUUUGCUAAUACUAUGACCCUUAACAGUAGGUAAAAAUUAGGCAAAGUAGAGCUGAAGAGAAUCUGCCAAGUCAGAUCAAGCUCUGUGUGCAAGUCUUAAACCUUUGCCGCUUUGCCUGUUCUAAGCAGUACACUUAAUUUUCUGGAAACUUGGAAGCUGAUAGCUGCAAAAGAGUUUAGGCAGCUGUUCUAAUAUGUCCACUUGUAUGUGUGGACUAUUCUGUUGAUACAGUGCAAAAUACAAAGGAAUUAAGCAAUAUCAGUGUCGGUCCUGUGAAAUAAUAGUGCCAUGUAUCCCUGAGCAGAUUUAGACAGCGACAUGAUUAUUACUUUAGGAAGUACAUGAGAGAUUUGAAAGCAUAUCAAGGUGCCCGUAAAAUACCUGCUCUAGCAUAUGAUCAUUCUAACCUGGAUGGCUUAGUUAUGACUAAAUCAAUCCCGGUUAUUGGAGGCUAGAUUUUCAAUGACCUUUCAGCUUAAUUUUACUUAGGGAAGGAGUGAGAAUUGUUCUGAUAGUUUUAAUGCAAUAACUCUUUUCUUAUUUGGGCUUAUUUUUGUUUUGCCCUUUUUUUUUUCUUGGAAAGGAAGAAACAUUGAUUAUAUGUUUCCUUCUAACUUUCUAUUUUGACUAGCAACAUUUACAGCUUGUAGGGCGGUUUCUUCUGUGCCAUCUGUGUCCCAUAUUGCGCAUCAGAUGGCAGGAUAAAAUCUGAAACAAGAACGUUUUGGGACAUAAAAGUCUUUCAAGGUUUGAAGCCAUGAUAUUCACAGCACAAAUGUGCGGAGCCGCUCAUGUAACUGAAACAGAAGACACAGAAUGCCAAAGCAGCUGCAGAGUGAAAGAAAGGAGAGACCACACAGUUUGGGCAGCAUACGUGCAUCGAGAACAAAAGAACGUUUGAGGGAAGAAGAAAGUGCAACUUCAGGCAGUGAGAAACUGGGAUCAGUCAUUAGGAAUUAUUGACAGCAGACAUGCACUCACACAGCGAUUAGAGGCUUGCUUUGGGAAGCCAUGUCAGUUAACACUGAGUUGCUAAAAGCUGAUAGCAAACUUUGCUUUGUCUUCCUUUGUUGGGGCUAAAGCAAAUCCCACCAUCCUGAUGGGUAAUUCUGAUAUGAGCCUUCUAAGUAACUUUCAUCUUUCUGCAUGAAUCACAAUGGUCUUUUCUGAUUUGUUAUACCUUUCUCCUUUUAUUAUUGUCGUGAAUUAUUCUUUCCCUAGUUGUAAUACUGUAAAAGGUCUCUUUAAAGUCGAGGCAUCUAUGAAAUGAGCACUACCCAAAUGUUUGAGGGCUAUUCCCUGGAGAACAUUUAUUCUAAAUGGAAAAAACAGAUGUACAGGAUGAAACAGAAGCAGGGAUGGAGAUGGGGAGCUGGAGUAUGUAAAAUUGAAUGUUUUUAAUGCAAACACUCUGAGGGCAGAGCUAGGAGCAGAACUCAGGUCUCCUAAUGCUCAGGUUGCCCAAAGCCCUGUCCAGCCUGGCCUUGAACACCUCCAGGGAUGGGGCUUUUCUGGUGGUUUAACUUUCUAUAAACUUGCUAUGAAAUGCUUUCUAUAACACUUUCCACAAAAUACUUGGUAUUUGGAACUUUCUAUAAAAUACUUGGUAUUGCAGUGACAGCUCUUGUUUACAGGCUGACAACUACACCCCAUCUAACAUGCAAGACCCAGUGGGAUGCCGUUUCCUUUGCUAAGAAGCAUGCCCUUAGCAGCAGACUUUGCCAGUAAAAGGCAAAAGGCACUGAAGCUCUUCUUUGAACAGGAGGAACUCUUGGCAUCUGUAUGGCUGUGCUGCAUGAAAGAGUCUACAGUGAAAAUAUCUUGUCAGUGCUGGCUUCAUCCCAUUCUAAACCGAACACCUUCAGAAGGCAGCCUCGCUCCCCUGAAUCUCCUCAUUGACUUUGAAGGAGCUUAGAAACCUAGGUGAGACUGUGCACCUAUACACUACGAGGCCCUCUCCUUGUAAUACCACCCUUCACUUACUACAGGGAUAUAAAACAGUUCCCCCUGUUGUUCCCUGUUUGACAUGCACAAAAGAAGCACUCAGGCUUUCUACGGAGAUCUGUUCCCUGGCUUUAGGUGUAGAUGGGAAAAGGACAGGUGGCACUUUGAUAUCAGGAAUUAAAUUCAGACCUCCCAGAGGCUUAUUUUGUUUUCUUUUGCUUUCAUAGCACUGACAUGAUUUGAUGAGUGAAGUUCAAUGGUAAUUUAUUUUUUUAAUUUGCAAUGUUUCCUGCAGUUGUUACCAGUAAGAGUGGUGAAUCUCAUCAAAGUAAAUAUAUCAGUGCUGGCUAAUGUUCGUUGUGAUAUUUAUUCUGCACCUAGCUGUAGAAUGGCA